rnacentral:lncRNA from 1 species
GCCCUCUUGCCAGAAAAGUUCUUUCUCCACAGACCAACAGGAAGUUCCCUAAGUACUAUGAGACCUUGUCUUUGCCUAUAGCUGGCUGCAUUGGACAUGGAUUCCUGGCCCAAGUUCAUUAAAGAAGAUGAGGGAAAAUAAACACACAUGUACACGCACACCAGAUAAACUGAAUGCUUCCUUCUGCUGGGGACACGCUGUAGGUGAGCAAGUGCACCAAGGACAAGGCGGCCACUGAUGAAAAGGAAGGGAAAAGAGACUUCAUUUCCAUACCCACUAACCAUGCCAACAGAAGGCUUUGUGAAGAAGGAAGUAAAAGCUAUCGGUAGGAGUUAGAAAAAAACAUUUCUAGUUACAAGAACAGCAGAAAAAGACCUGAACUUCAGAGUGGACCACAAAUGAAUAUGAAUUAAUAACACAGAUCUCUUUUCAAAAGCCAACACAA